CAGAGAGUAGUUUAAAUAAAAUAUUAAUUUUGGAGAUUAAUGAUGAAUAGUUAUAUUUCUCUCUGA
rnacentral:tRNA from 2 species